rnacentral:rRNA from 1 species
UGCGCAGGCGGUUUUGAAAGUCAGAUGUGAAAUCCCCGGGCUCAACCUGGGAACUGCGUUUGAAACUCCAAGACUCGAGUAUAGGAGAGGGGGGUAGAAUUCCAGGUGUAGCGGUGAAAUGCGUAGAGAUCUGGAGGAAUACCGAUUGCGAAGGCAGCCCCCUGGACAGUGACUGACGCUCAUAUGCGAAAGCGUGGGGAUCAAACAGGAUUAGAUACCCCCGUA